rnacentral:lncRNA from 10 species
GUUUGAUCUCAGACUGCUGUGCUAGCAAUCAGCGAGACUCCGUGGGCGUAGGACCCUCCUAGCCAGAUACAAAAAGAAAAAUUACUGUCAUGUGAUGUGUGAUCCAUGAUACCGUCAUAGUUUUGUUAUGAGAAAACUGAGGCUCUGAGAGAUGACAUCAUAAAGCCUUGUAAGACCCAGCCAAGACCAUCCUCAAGGAGUUUAAUGAAUGUGGCAUCACAAGAAAAAUAUGCAUCAACAUUGAAAAGAAAAGAAAUAAAAUUCCAUUAACAGAGCUUGAGGAAGUGGACUUGACUAAGCUGGAGUAAGGAGUGCAGAGAGUGAGGAGACAGGAUGCGAAACAAGAGGUCCCACAAUAGGCUGUCUGCAAGUUUGAGGAGCAAGGAGAGCCAUCCCAUGUCUCAAAACUGAAGAACUU